AUAUUUUUUUUUUUUUUUUUGUGAUAAAAUCGAGAAAUCCAAAUUCACAAGCCGGUGAGCCGAUGGGCAAAAUUUUCAAAAUUUUUAUUUUUUUUGUUGAAAGCGGCCCCAGGCAUACCUGAAAAAUCGAUUUUUUUUAAUUUUUUUUUUUGUGAUAAAAUCGAGAAAUCCAAAUUCACAAGCCGGGUGAGCCGAUGGGGCAAAUUUUUCAAAAAUCGUAAAAAAAAAAAAUUUGAUCGCAAAAAUUCUGCAGAUUAACAAUCUUAUUCGUAUUUGUGCCGAAAAGAUCAAUCAAAUUUUUAAACUAAAUGCAUAUUUUCAACUUUUUCACUUUUUCACUUUUUCAAAUCCGCUGCCCGGCUUUGGUCCCCGGCCCGGGUUACUCAUCAGUUUACCACCAAAAUUUGAGCCCCGUUUGCACUCUGAUUGCUUGCACACGACUUCAUGACUUAAACUCUGAAUUCCAGCUUACAGGAGCACUGGGGGUUCUAUUUCGCGAUGAUUUUUUAGAAUUGAUCGUUAAUUACAGACGUUCAAUGCCUAUAAAGGAGUUGAUUUGACCCUACCAAUUGGUUUAAUUUUAACCAGAGCGGCUUACAUAAUACUGUCUAGUCGAUGAUUCCAGGAUCCAACAGUCCCUGGGGAGGGAGGGAGGGUGUCUUCGGCUUAAUUGUCAACCCCUCCAGCCUGAAUCCCAGCGCACCUGGACCUAGCCUGUGUGUAAGCGGUUCCUCCUGUCGUUGAUCCCUAUCUGCCUAAAUGCUAAUGGCGAGGCCAAUUUCACGGCGUUCAAUUAUACGUAGAGUGGUUGGUCUUGGAGGCGUUUAAUUGCAAGUAAAUUAGUAUGAUUUCUAAGCUUCAUUGGAGUUUAGGUUACUUUUUACAUAUUGCACUCAAAAGUCCUCGGCAGUUGUUUAGCUGCAGGGGUACUGAAGAGGUCUUGUAGAUUUUUGGCUGUUAGCCAAAUCUUCAAAUAAACUAUAUGGAGGCAACCACUGUGACUUGCCUUUCUAGGUGACAAUCAGAUGGAUUCUUCAUUUUGGGAUGCGUUAUGUACCAACAUAUGCGGAAGGGUGUGUUUUAUAACUGCUUUUUUUUUGCAUUGCUUGGGAACGGAUCGUAGCCAAGGUAUCUCAGUGGAGGCAAUUGGAUGAUUAAGAACCUAAGCUACAGCUCUUGCUUAGUUAUAAGUUCCUUAGUCCAACAAAUUAAUGUUGCAACGUUAUUAAACUCGGGGCUUUCUAUUUCCUAGUGAAGGGAAAUAGAGGGUCCACCCCUGAUAUCUAUCUGAAAGGAAGUUAUUAGGGGAAUGAUAGUUA
rnacentral:misc_RNA from 1 species